GCCCGCUUGGCUCAGGGGUAAAGCGUAUCACUCGUCUAAAGGUCCUCGGGUAUGCGAUGAUAAGAUCAGUCGUUCGAAUCGGCUAGUGGGCA